rnacentral:rRNA from 1 species
UACCUGCAGCUCGAGUGGUGACCGCUAUUAUUGGGCCUAAAACGUUCGUAGCCGGUUUAGUAAAUGCCUGGGUAAAUCGUGUAGCUUAACUAUACGAAUUCCGGGUAGACUGCUAAACUUGAGACCGGGAGAGGCUAGAGGUACUCCUGGGGUAGAGGUGAAAUUCUGUAAUCCUGGGGGGACCACCAGUGGCGAAGGCGUCUAGCUAGAACGGGUCUGACGGUGAGGUACGAAGCCCUGGGGCGCAAACCGGAUUAGAUACCCGGGUAGUCCAGGGUGUAAACGCUGCUUGCUUGAUGUUAGUUGGGCUCCGAGCCCAAUUAGUGUCGGAGAGAAGUUGUUAAGCAAGCUGCCUGGGAAGUGCGGUCGCAAAGGCUAGAAACUUAAAGGAAUUGGCGGGGAGCACAGCAACGGGUGGAGCGUGCGGUUU